rnacentral:rRNA from 1 species
AGCGAACGCUGGCGGCAGGCUUAACACAUGCAAGUCGAGCGGGCAUCCUUGUGGUGUCAGCGGCAGACGGGUGAGUAACGCGUGGGAACGUGCCCUUCGGUUCGGAAUAACUCAGGGAAACUUGAGCUAAUACCGGAUACGUGCGAGAGCAGAAAGGUUUAUCUGCCGAAGGAUCGGCCCGCGUCUGAUUAGCUAGUUGGUGAGGUUACGGCUCACCAAGGCGACGAUCAGUAGCUGGUCUGAGAGGAUGAUCAGCCACACUGGGACUGAGACACGGCCCAGACUCCUACGGGAGGCAGCAGUGGGGAAUAUUGGACAAUGGGGCAACCCUGAUCCAGCCAUGCCGCGUGAGUGAUGACGGCCUUAGGGUUGUAAAGCUCUUUUCUCCGGGACGAUAAUGACGGUACCGGAGGAAUAAGCCCCGGCUAACUUCGUG